rnacentral:rRNA from 1 species
UACGGAGGGUGCAAACGUUGCUCGGAAUCAUUGGGGCGUAAAGCGCACGUAGGCGCGAAGCAAGUUGGGUGUGAAAGCCCUGGGCUCAACCCAGGAAGUGCAUUCAAAACUGCUUCGCUUGAAUCUCGGAGGGGGUCAGAGAAUUCCCGGUGUAGAGGUGAAAUUCGUAGAUAUCGGGAGGAAUACCAGUGGCGAAGGCGGCAUCCUGGAACCGGCAUUGACGCUGAGGCGCGAAAGCCAGGGGGAGCAAAACGGG